rnacentral:rRNA from 1 species
AGAGUUUGAUCCUGGCUCAGGAUAAAACGCUGGCGGCAUGCCUAACACAUGCAAGUCGAACGGAGCGCCUUGGAAGGAGACUUCGGUCAACGGAAGAGGAGGCUUAGUGGCGGACGGGUGAGUAACGCGUGAGGAACCUGCCUCAGAGAGGGGGAUAACACACCGAAAGGUGUGCUAAUACCGCAUAACAUAUGAGAGGGGCAUCCCUUUUAUAUCAAAGAUUUAUUGCUCUGAGAUGGCCUCGCGUCCAAUUAGCUAGUUGGUGAGGUAACGGCCCACCAAGGCGACGAUUGGUAGCCGGACUGAGAGGUUGAACGGCCACAUUGGGACUGAGACACGGCCCAGACUCCUACGGGAGGCAGCAGUGGGGAAUAUUGCACAAUGGGGGGAACCCUGAUGCAGCAAUGCCGCGUGAAGGAUGAAGGUUUUCGGAUUGUAAACUUCUUUUGUACGGGACGAAGAAAGUGACGGUACCGUAAGAAUAAGCCACGGCUAACUACGUG